rnacentral:rRNA from 1 species
GAUGAACGCUGGCGGCGUGCCUAAUACAUGCCAGUCGAGCGAACAGACGAGGAGCUUGCUCCUCUGACGUUAGCGGCGGACGGGUGAGUAACACGUGGAUAACCUACCUAUAAGACUGGGAUAACUUCGGGAAACCGGAGCUAAUACCGGAUAAUAUAUUGAACCGCAUGGUUCAAUAGUGAAAGACGGUUUUGCUGUCACUUAUAGAUGGAUCCGCGCCGCAUUAGCUAGUUGGUAAGGUAACGGCUUACCAAGGCGACGAUGCGUAGCCGACCUGAGAGGGUGAUCGGCCACACUGGAACUGAGACACGGUCCAGACUCCUACGGGAGGCAGCAGUAGGGAAUCUUCCGCAAUGGGCGAAGGCUUGACGGAGCAACGCCGCGUGAGUGAUGAAGGUCUUCGGAUCGUAAAACUCUGUUAUUAGGGAAGAACAAAUGUGUAAGUAACUAUGCACGUCUUGACGGUACCUAAUCAGAAAGCCACGGCUAACUACGUG